ACUAACCUGAAUGGGUAGUAUUUCUAAAACAAACCUCUGUAUAAUGGUGGCAUUCCAUUUUAAUAGAGGAAUAUGUUUAAUAAUCGAUAUUACACGAUUAAUUUCACUUAAAUUAAAAUUUUAUAUACCUCCGUCUUGAAUAAACUAAAGCAUUUUAUUCAAAACAAUAUACUAAAACCUUAGGUAAAGGUGUAAACUAAGUUUAAGAUAAAAUGUAUUACAAUAAAAUAAAUUUAAGGAUUACUUUUUCAUAAAAUUUAUAAAAAGGGAUUUAUAAGUAUUAUUUUAUUUAAUAUAUAAAUUUGAAUAAAAAAAUAAAUGUGC
rnacentral:rRNA from 1 species